rnacentral:rRNA from 1 species
UACAGAGGGUGCAAGCGUUAAUCGGAAUUACUGGGCGUAAAGCGCGCGUAGGUGGUUCGUUAAGUUGGAUGUGAAAUCCCCGGGCUCAACCUGGGAACUGCAUUCAAAACUGACGAGCUAGAGUAUGGUAGAGGGUGGUGGAAUUUCCUGUGUAGCGGUGAAAUGCGUAGAUAUAGGAAGGAUCACCAGUGGCGAAGGCGACCACCUGGACUGAUACUGACACUGAGGUGCGAAAGCGUGGGGAGCAAACAGG